rnacentral:rRNA from 1 species
GGACUACCGGGGUAUCUAAUCCCGUUUGCUCCCCUGGCUUUCGCGCCUCAGCGUCAGAAAGGGUCCAGCACGUCGCUUUCGCCACCGGCGUUCCUUCCGAUAUCUACGCAUUUCACCGCUCCACCGGAAGUUCCACAUGCCCCUACCCCCCUCGAGACGGCCAGUAUCUCCAGCUAUUCUCCGGUUGAGCCGAAGGAUUUCACCACAGACUUGACCGCCCGCCUACGCGCCCUUUAAGCCCAGUGAUUCCGAACAACGUUCGCACGGUUCGUCUUACCGCGGCUGCUGGCAC